CUCGCGUCCGAUUAGAUAGUUGGUGAGAUAAUGGCCCACCAAGUCAACGAUCGGUAGCCGAACUGAGAGGUUGAUCGGCCACAUUGGGACUGAGACACGGCCCAGACUCCUACGGGAGGCAGCAGUGGGGAAUAUUGGGCAAUGGGCGAAAGCCUGACCCAGCAACGCCGCGUGAAGGAUGAAGGUCUUCGGAUUGUAAACUUCUUUGAUUAGGGAAGAAUUUUUGACCUACCUAAAGAACAAGUCACGGCUAACUACGUGCCAGCAGCCGCGGUAAUACGUAGGUGACAAGCGUUAUCCGGAUUUACUGGGUGUAAAGGGCGUGUAGGCGGUUUUGCAAGUCAGAUGUGAAAUUCCCAGGCUUAACCUGGGCGCUGCAUCUGAAACUGCAAGACUUGAGUACUGGAGAGGAUAGUGGAAUUCCUAGUGUAGCGGUAAAAUGCGCAGAUAUUAGGAGGAACACCGGUGGCGAAGGCGACUAUCUGGACAGUAACUGACGCUGAGGCGCGAAAGCGUGGGGAGAC
rnacentral:rRNA from 1 species